rnacentral:rRNA from 1 species
GACGAACGCUGGCGGCGUGCUUAACACAUGCAAGUCGAGCGGAGCGGCGAACGGGUGAGUAACGCGUGAGUAACUGCCCCCCUCCCUGGGAUAACAGUUGGAAACGGCUGCCAAUACCGGAUAGUGGGGGAUGACUCGCGUCCUAUCAGCUUGUUGGUGGGGUAGUGGCCUAACAAGGCGACGACGGGUAGCCGGCCUGAGAGGGCGACCGGCCACAUUGGGCUGAGAGACGGCCCAAACGCCAACGGGAGGCAGCAGGGGGGAAUAUUGCACAAUGGGGGAAACUCUGAUGCAGCAGCGCCGCGGGCGGAAUGACGUCCUUCGGGUUGUAAACCGCUUUCAGCCAUGACGCGGUAGUGGCAGAAGAAGCACCGGCUAACUACGUGCCAGCAGCCGCGGUAAUAC